rnacentral:rRNA from 1 species
AACGAACGCUGGCGGCAUGCCUAAUACAUGCAAGUCGAACGAGAUCUUCGGAUCUAGUGGCGCACGGGUGCGUAACGCGUGGGAAUCUGCCCUUGGGUUCGGAAUAACUUCUGGAAACGGAAGCUAAUACCGGAUGAUGACGUAAGUCCAAAGAUUUAUCGCCCAAGGAUGAGCCCGCGUAGGAUUAGCUAGUUGGUGGGGUAAAGGCUCACCAAGGCGACGAUCCUUAGCUGGUCUGAGAGGAUGAUCAGCCACACUGGGACUGAGACACGGCCCAG